GCUCCAGUGGCACAAUCGGUUAGCGCGCCGUACUUAUAAUGCGGAGGUUGUGAGUUCGAUCCUCACCUGGAGCA
rnacentral:tRNA from 1 species